rnacentral:rRNA from 1 species
UACGUAGGGGGCAAGCGUUGUCCGGAUUUAUUGGGCGUAAAGAGCGUGUAGGCGGUUUGGUAGGUCCGCUGUGAAAACUCGAGGCUCAACCUCGAGACGCCGGUGGAAACCAUCAGACUAGAGUCCGGAAGAGGAGAGUGGAAUUCCUGGUGUAGCGGUGAAAUGCGCAGAUAUCAGGAAGAACACCCGUGGCCUAAGGCGGCUCUCUAGUACGGUACUGACGCUGAGACGCGAAAGCGUGGGGAGCGAACAGG